AUCAAAUUAGAUAUUUUAUUUGGAAAUCGUAUUCCAUGUAUCGUUUAUGGCUCUACUUUAAAUACUUGGCUUUAAAAUUGCUAUAGUAUGCUUUUACAUCUGUGGCAGCAUCUUUAUACGCUUUAUAAAAGUUCUACAAAGGGCUAUGGAUUAGAUAAUUAAACUAGCCGCGUUCUUCGGCUAGCAAAAUUACAUUUCGUUUUAUAUCGAUAUUUCAGAAAAUGUUGAAAUUUUUCGUUCGCACUUUCACUAGCUGUGUAACGGGUAUCUGAUAUUUGGGGAGGUCGCUAUGGUUUUUUCUUAACCUGAGCUGAACAACAUUUUGUGUGAAUAAUGAAAGCAAUCCUUGAAUGCUCAAGGAUGGGUGAGCUUGAUCACGAAGGGGCCGCAAACGAGUACCGUAUGACGAGCAUUGCUACCCAGACGGAGUCUCAAAAGCCUACCAGGCUACGCAAGAUGCGAAGGUGCUAAGGAGGCAAGUACCCAAAGUGCAGGCGCCCAAGCCGAGUAACACGAUGGUUGUUAUCCACGGAGGAGAAGGGGUGACAACCGGUACAAAGGAGUCCAAGCCGGGCAGCUAUGCAUCGGUCGCCAAGAGCGCUGGCGCGAGCGCUCAAGGUGAAGCCUAAGCACCUGUGUAAAAAGCCAAAGGCACUUAUCGUGAAGAAGACGGGUGAGGCUUCUAACACAGAGAAGCUCCGGAAACUAAAAUCGUACCCGAGCCUUAGGGAACUCGGCAAACACGUACGCAAAAUACAGAGAACCCAUCAAGGUGAGCUGCGGCUGAAAGUAGAGGGAAAAGCCUCGGAAUGCGUUCACAAGCUUAAAAGCGAUCUUGAGGCGACGCUCAAAGAGAUGGCCUUGCUUGUAGCGCUAUCUUGUAGCGGAAUGGACGAGGCUAGGACAGCAGAGGAGCUCCACAGCUGCCUGGUCAUCCAAUGGGGACACUCCUCCAUGAGCCUAGACGAGUCAGGGAAAGCAUCCAUUAAGUGUUACAGCCCUUUCCACGUUCAGGAACUGGCUUCCUCACCGAUGCGCGGAAUUGCAUAUACAAGACCGGCGAAGACCGAAGGGAAUGGGAACCAGUGUAUUCAACCCCAAUGAUGAAGCUGUGAUAGACACUAUGGGAAUGCUGGACCUGAUACUACUGAACUACGGAUGGAAGCCAACGAAGCCCAUAAAGAAUUGCUAAAUAGCGUAGACGGAGAUACCGGGGGCCUUGUCUACAAGCUGGUAACAAACCAGCUAAGGAAGAAAGGGGUCACAGAACUGGAUGUCGUCGAGGCAGCCAAGCGUAUUAAACACAAUGUAGCUUCUGGCCUAGACGGAAUUCCUGGAGCAGUCGUCAAUGCAGUAGCUUUGCGUAGUCCUGACAUCUUCAUGACCCCCUUCCAGAAAUGUCUUUUGAACGGGGUCUUUUCAAUGGGCUGGAAGAGUCAGAAACUAGUCCGGUUGGCGAAAGGCAAGGGACCAGCAAGCUGCCAACAGCUACCGCCCACUAUGCCUGCUGGAUAUCCUCGGAAAACUGUUCGAACGUAUCCUGUAUAGUCGAAUAGAAUCAAUUACCGAGAGCACCAACGGCCUAGGAAGUCAACAAUACGGCUUUCGGAAGAUAGCCAAGGACGCUCUUGCUGGCGAUAGAUGGCUAGUAGGAGGGAAGGAAUAUUUUGCAAUCUGGACGUAAAGAACGCCUUCAAAACCGCUAGAUGGCCCGUAAUACUCGGAGCCAUGAACAGAAUGGGGGUCCCGGAGUACCUGAGGAUAAUCGUUGGCAGCUACUUUAGGGACCGGGUCUUGUGGUACGAUACGGAAACUGGCGCAAAGAGAUACCGACUUUCGGCAGGUGUUCGCCAAGGAUCUGUACUUGGACCGAUCUUGUGGAACAUCAUGUACGAUGAGAUCCUGGGCAUCAACAGGACCCAGGGAGUAGAGCUACACUGUUUUGCGGACGACGUGGCAAUAAAAGCAGUCGCCAAAACAAUCGCAGACCUACAGGACAAAUGUAACGCUACGAUUGGAUUCAAAAUUUGUUGUCAAGCCGAUAGAAAUUUGCCAAAAGAAAUUAAGCGAAAAAUAAUCAAAA